rnacentral:rRNA from 1 species
ACAUAACUGAUGCCUCCGCGUAUCGACUUUGUGCGCAUUUUAGCUAUUAUGUGUUCUUUUAAUUAAAAUGAUUCUUUUUAAGAUUCAUCUAUUAAAAAUUUGCUUCGGCAUAAUUUUUUUUGAUGAUCUUGUUACUUUGAGUAAAUUAGAGUGUUCAAAGCAAACAGAUAUAGCAUUUGUGCGUUUGAAUACUACAGCAUGGAAUAACAAAAUUGAACAAGUCAGAAUUUUUUUGUUCUUUUUUCUUAUUUUGGCUUAGUUACGAUUAAUAGGAGUAGCUUGGGGGCAUUUGUAUUCAGAUGUCAGAGGUGAAAUUCUUAGAUUUUCUGGAGACAAACAACUGCGAAAGCAUUUGCCUAAAAUACUUCCAUUAAUCAAGAACGAAAGUUAAGGGAGUGAAGACGAUCAGAUACCGUCGUAAUCUUAACCAUAAACUAUGCCGACUAGGCUUUGGAUGAAAGAUUUUAAAAUAAGAGUUUUUCUUUUCUCUCCGGAGAUUAGAACUCUUAGAUUGCUUCCUUCAGUGCCUUAUGAGAAAUCAAAGUCUUUGGGUUCUGGGGCGAGUAUUCGCGCAAGCGAGAAAGUUAAAAGAAUUGACGGAAGGGCACCACCAGGCGUGGAGCUUGCGGCUUAAUUUGACUCAACACGGGAAAACUCACUAGUUUAAGACAAGAGUAGGAUUGACAGAUUAAUAGCUCUUUCUUGAUUUCUUGGAUGGUGAUGCAUGGCCGUUUUUAGUUCGUGAAUAUGAUUUGUCUGGUUAAUUCCGAUAACGAACGAGAUCUUAACCUGCUAAUUAGCGGCAAAUACGAUAUAUUCUUAUGUAGAAUUGAAUAUAGUGGAUUUGUUAGAUUUUGAAGAAAAUAUUGGAAUUACGUUAAAUGUGAUUCCUUUCCCUUUUCUACUUAAUUUACAUUUCCAUCUAUUUCUUUUUCGCGUAUGAAUGUAUUUGCUUGAUUGUAAAGCUUCUUAGAGGAACGAUGUGUG